GUGGCUAUACCGCCUGGUAGAGCACCGCGUUGUGGUCGCGGGGGCCGCGGGUUCAAGUCCCGUUAGCCACCCCA
rnacentral:tRNA from 1 species